GACGAAGGAUGCAAGCGUUAUCCGGAUUCAUUGGGUUUAAAGGGUGCGUAGGCGGCCCGGUAAGUCAGUGGUGAAAGCCUGUUGCUUAACAACAGAACUGCCAUUGAUACUGCUGGGCUUGAGUACAGAUGCUGUGGGCGGAAUAUGACAUGUAGUGGUGAAAUACAUAGAGAUGUCAUAGAACACCGAUUGCGAAGGCAGCUCACAAAACUGUAACUGACGCUGAGGCACGAAAGUGCGGGGAUCAAAACAGG
rnacentral:rRNA from 1 species